AGAUGCUUCCUUACAGGAAUUUUCCAACUUUUUGAAGAAUCUUGAAGAACAGAGAGAGAUCAUGGCAUUGAGUGUUACUGAGACCCUGAUUAAACCCUUGGAAAAAUUCAGAAAGGAACAACUCGGAGCUGUAAAGG